UGAACAAAUUUUAAUAGGAGGCAAGUAGAAUGGGACUUGGCAAUCUAUAACUCAAACUGCUGAUCUAAUAACGGACAAGGAAAAACUAAAGGAAACCAAUGGUGGAGAAGAUGCGAAGAGACCGUAUUAAUGGUAGCAUUGAAAAACUGAGGCAGAUACUGGAAAAGAUUUUUCCAAGGCAACAACUCAGCUGUAAACAGAAGAAAUCUGACAUUCUGGAAAUGUUGGUGAGCUUCAUGAAAUGGCAUCAACAGAUGCAGACUAAAGGCAGAAGACCCUUACAAAACAGCUCUAGAUUACAAAGAAGGUCAACCCAGGUGUUCACAGGAAACAAUGAACUUCAUUUCUCUCAGUGACAGAAGGAAAGAAAUUUAAAUGAAAAUGAGAAACCUUUUUCAACAAUCUGCAACUGUUUCUGAGGGCAUCAGUUGCCCCAUAUCCCCAGUGACACCAUUUCCUUGUCAACUUUUUACCCAACAGACCAUGAACACUAUCAUACCUGUUUGGAGACCCUGGCUAAUGUAAACUUUUUAAUGUACUUGUUUGUUUUGAAACCAGAGGAAGAUAUAGCGUUAUGAAAGUUCCGUCAGCCUCUUUCAGUGGGAAAUACUGAUUCCCAUGAAAAUUUCACUUAGCAAGUGACUUUACAUCUUUGUUCAUUCCUUCAUAUUGAAGGCUGUACCUAAUCCACCAAGUGGUGUAAGUGUUAUUUUGGGACAUUUCCUUUUUUGUUAUUAUGGCCAUGUGUUCUAUGUAAGCACAGAGCACUCAGUCUUCUAUACUGAAGAUGUGUGCUACCAAUGUUACUUGUGUAACUAACAACCAGAUGUAGGAGUUAAACUCCAUGACAGCUACUUAAACAUACUGUUUAAAUGUAAACGCCAGGGUAUGUGUUGCAACGGGUCUACCUGAUAACACCGACGUGUCAAAACACCGACAACGAAAUAACCGACACGACAAA